rnacentral:misc_RNA from 1 species
AAUGUUUAAUAGGAAGGGAGAGCUUGUAGUGUCAUUGACUCAAGAGGCCUUAUUGAGGCCAGCCAGAAAACAACCUGUAUUCCAACCAAAGCUCUAAUCCAUGUCAGGUCCAUUGGAAAAAGAGGACUAGGUAAAACUGCAGAAAAGCUCAAAUAAGUCCUGUAGAGGUCGCGAUAUACAAUUAACAUAGCUGUUUUAAUAGUGGAAGAGUAUGAUGUAUCUAUAUUUUACAACCAUUAUACAGAACUACCCCACCAUUCUCUCUGUAACUCUCAUCUCACCUUUAUAUAUAACCCCACCAG